rnacentral:rRNA from 1 species
AGUGAACGCUGGCGGUAGGCCUAACACAUGCAAGUCGAGCGGCAGCACAGUAAGAGCUUGCUCUUACGGGUGGCGAGUGGCGGACGGGUGAGGAAUACAUCGGAAUCUACUUUUUCGUGGGGGAUAACGUAGGGAAACUUACGCUAAUACCGCAUACGACCUACGGGUGAAAGCAGGGGAUCUUCGGACCUUGCGCGAUUGAAUGAGCAGGUGUCGGAUUAGCUAGUUGGCGGGGUAAAGGCCCACCAAGGCGACGAGAGAUAGCGGGUGUGAGAGGAAUGUACCAGAGACUGGUACUGAGAUAAGGACACGAAUCCUACGGGAGGCAGCAGUGCGGUAGAUUGGGCCAUGGUCGGAAUACUGAUUCUGUCAUGCGGAGUGAAGGAUGACGGCAUUAUGGGUUGUAAACUGCUUUUGCAAGGGAAGAAUAAGGCGGCCGUGUACUUGGAUGACGGUACAUUACGAAUAAGCAUCGGCUAACUCCGUG